AACCUGUCUCAUAAUCGACAAUCCGCGCUAAACCCGACCCUCUGUAGCAAUUCAGCCUGUAUACCGUUGUCGUCAGGUAACUUCUUAAAAUAUAGUAGUUAGCUCGAGAAUCUUAUUAAUUAGUACGUCAAAUCAAGGUGCAGCUAAUAAGAGGGAGAGGAUGGGUUACAAUUAUAUAUUUAUAAUUACGAAAAACACCUUGAAUAAAAUGCUGGAAGGAGGACUU
rnacentral:rRNA from 1 species